rnacentral:rRNA from 1 species
AUGAGUUGCGUAGUAGAUUGGAAAAACAUCAAACUAUUGAUAAAGCUGCUCAACGACAACUUGAGAAAGAGAAGGACCAUUGGAGAAAGGUAUUAUUCUGAAUUUUUUUGCAUUGUAAAAUUUCUUGCAAAGCAUAAUCUAGCAUUUCGUGGUACUAAUGGCAAGCUGUAUGAAGAUAGAAUGGUAAUUUCUUGGGUUUUGUAG